rnacentral:snRNA from 20 species
AUACUUACCUUGUGGGAAUUCUACCAGAUCACGAAGCGGCAGAAUUUUAUGCGUGAGUCCGCAUUGCACAGCGCGGUACUUUCACCGUAACGAAGUGUCUUCGGGCACUCCGCUCGCGCUAUUUUUGAUUUUACCCAGAUGGCUCUGUC